rnacentral:lncRNA from 1 species
GCUCUAGGAUGGUGUACCCCAGGCCCUAGAUGACCCAGUACUGAGUCUUGGUCUGGAAGUUGGCCUCAAAAUGAGCCCAGGCUUGUCUCUGUGCUUUGUCACCCCAGCAGCUAGCUUUUCAUGUCUUCCCCAGUGCUCCAGGAAGUGAGUGCUUAGGGUAGAAAGUCACUGGGAACCAACCCCCCUUAGCCUACUUGACUAUGUUGAGGGAUCUUGGGUGGGGAAGCUAUGUUACAUUCCUGAUUUUUAAACCUCAUCCAGGAGGCUGCCUAGCUCAGAGUCAAGGCUAUAAGGGUUCAUAUUGUGGUUACAUUGCUUAUCAGCUGUGGGACCUCUCUACCUCAGUUUCCUAAUCUGUGAAGUGGAAUUAUAAUCCAGCCUCAUGGGAUUCUAGGAUUAAAUGAGAAUGUAUAUGUAAAGUGCUUAGCACAGUCUAACACAGUGUGAUUGUUCCAGCAAGGCUGGUCCCUACCUUCCCUUUCCUGGAGACCCCUCUAUCCUGGGACAGUCCUGCCCCAAGAAAGAUUGUGGAUUGUGCUCAGCCUUCCUUGAGACACACCACUGUGUUGUCUGCUUUGUUCAAAGCCGGAGUGUCUCCUUCAGCACCAGCUUCAGAAAAGGACUCUGCCUGGCCAGCUGCCAAAGGCUUGUUCAGCGAGACACUGCCCUACUAGCUCCUCCUGCACCUGCCUGCUCAGCAGCACGGAGGGAAGCUGCAGGCAACUCUUGUUCUUGGGCCCCAGCCAAACCACACAGGAGGGCUGGGCAGGGAAGCUCCUCGCCCAGGAACCUGGCAGAGUGGGCGAGAAGGUGGCAGGGGAGUAGCAUAGUAUGGGACUUAGGGGAGGUGGCGCAGACUCCCCUUAGAUCCCAUUCCUGCUCCUUGCCUGAUUCUUAGGCCAGCUUCUGCCUGGUUCUUGGGUAGGAUAGUGAACCACCCCCAGGUCCAUCCCCUCUUCUGAGCCUAGACUGGCCUAGCCCAACUUCUCCUCUGCUAUCAUCCUUCAGUUCCUUGCCCGCCUCUCAGACAGCUGCUACUCUGUGAAAGGCCAACAAGGAAUCAAGGAUCUUGGUUCCAGUUCCAGGCGAUAACUGUGACCAGAAAUGCCCAGCUUGUACCCUCUCUCUAGCACCUGGAACAGCAUCUCUAAAUCAUCUCCUCCUCCUCCUCUUCUUCCUCCUCCUCCUCCUCUUCCUUCUUUUCCUCCUCCUCCUCCUUAUCUUUCUUCUUCUUUUUUUCCUAAGAACUUUCUACAAUCUUAUCCUGAGUACAUAUUAUUCCUGAUCUGAGUUCCUGGGAGCGAGGCAAUGUUUACCAAUUGAGCCCAGCAUCAUGUCCCCAGGGUACUGGCAAAGGAGCAGGCAUGUUUGAAUAUCUGUAAGUGGAAUAGGGGCACUCGCUAUCCAGCCUGGCCCACAGCAAGAUGUGGGGCAUUCCCUUCCUAGAAUGGGAGGCAGAGCUGGCCAUCUCCAAGGAACUUGUAUCUACUGAAGUGUUAGCCAGGCAACCCUCCAUCUUGGAUCCUGAUUUUGUCUUGAUGCACUAAGGAACUUUGGAAAAGGCAAUGCAGCCUUCUGGACUUCACUGUUCUCUUUUUGCAAAACUGGAUAAAAAAUGUGCCCUGCCACCUUUCUAACGUGCAAGGCUGAGGGGGCAAGAAAAGCUCUGGGAUGAGAUCAGCAGGAACGAUGCUCAGGCAGGUUAAUGUGCCACGGCAGGGAGGCCUGCAGCAGUCCUUGGUCGGCUUCUUCCUGGCCUAGUAACGCGGAUGGCCCCUUUCCAAAGCUCUGCUCAAGUGCUAGAAUGUGGAAGGGAGCUUCAAGAUUCAUUCAGAUGUGCACACUCAUGACUAGCUCCCUUCUUUCUACC